rnacentral:rRNA from 1 species
UGCAGUCGAGCGGGGAAAGGUAGCUUGCUACUUGACCUAGCGGCGGACGGGUGAGUAAUGCUUAGGAAUCUGCCUAUUAGUGGGGGACAACAUCUCGAAAGGGAUGCUAAUACCGCAUACGUCCUACGGGAGAAAGCAGGGGACCUUCGGGCCUUGCGCUAAUAGAUGAGCCUAAGUCGGAUUAGCUAGUUGGUGGGGUAAAGGCCUACCAAGGCGACGAUCUGUAGCGGGUCUGAGAGGAUGAUCCGCCACACUGGGACUGAGACACGGCCCAGACUCCUACGGGAGGCAGCAGUGGGGAAUAUUGGACAAUGGGGGGAACCCUGAUCCAGCCAUGCCGCGUGUGUGAAGAAGGCCUUUUGGUUGUAAAGCACUUUAAGCGAGGAGGAGGCUACCGAGAUUAAUACUCUUGGAUAGUGGACGUUACUCGCAGAAUAAGCACCGGCUAACUCUGUGCCAGCAGCCGCGGUAAUACAGAGGGUGCAAGCGUUAAUCGGAUUUACUGGGCGUAAAGCGCGCGUAGGUGGCCAAUUAAGUCAAAUGUGAAAUCCCCGAGCUUAACUUGGGAAUUGCAUUCGAUACUGGUUGGCUAGAGUAUGGGAGAGGAUGGUAGAAUUCCAGGUGUAGCGGUGAAAUGCGUAGAGAUCUGGAGGAAUACCGAUGGCGAAGGCAGCCAUCUGGCCUAAUACUGACACUGAGGUGCGAAAGCAUGGGGAGCAAACAGGAUUAGAUACCCUGGUAGUCCAUGCCGUAAACGAUGUCUACUAGCCGUUGGGGCCUUUGAGGCUUUAGUGGCGCAGCUAACGCGAUAAGUAGACCGCCCGGGGAGUACGGUCGCAAGACUAAAACUCAAAUGAAUUGACGGGGGCCCGCACAAGCGGUGGAGCAUGUGGUUUAAUUCGAUGCAACGCGAAGAACCUUACCUGGUC